AGUAGAGAAGUAAUUUACAUUUAGUUUCGACCUAAAUAAUAAAGAAUUGAUUUAUUCUUCCUAUUUG
rnacentral:tRNA from 1 species